rnacentral:misc_RNA from 1 species
GAAAUGCGAUAUGUAUUGUGAAUUGCAGAAUUUCGUGAAUCAUCGAAUCUUUGAACGCACAUUGCGCCUGGUGGUAUUCCACCAGGCAUGCUUGUUUGAGCGUCAUUUCACUCUCACUAACCAGUGGUUUUGCUGUAUAUCUUCCUCUUUAGAGAGGAAGUGCGGUGAAAGGAAAUGGCAAGGCUUUGACUUUGGAAACGUGUUUUAGGUUCUACCAACUACAUCAGUACCAUUGUCAACCAAGUCGGCUUGAUAACCUUUUUUCAAUGUUGACCUCAAAUCAAGUAGGACUACCCGCUGAACUUAA